CCCUUAGAUGUCCUGGGCCGCACGCGCGCUACACUGAUGCAUGCAACGAGUUUAUAACCUUGGCCUGAAAGGUCUGGGUAAUCUUUUGAACGUGCAUCGUGAUAGGGAUAGAUUAUUGCAAUUGUUAAUCUUGAACGAGGAAUUCCUAGUAAACGCGAGUCAUCAGCUCGCAUUGAUUACGUCCCUGCCCUUUGUACACACCGCCCGUCGCACCUACCAAUUGAAUGGUUCGGUGAAGAUCUCGGACUUCGAUAUUUAUUCUUUAUUGAGUUUAUAUUGUGGGAAGUUAUCUAAACCUCAUCAUUUAGAGGAAGGUGAAGUCGUAACA
rnacentral:rRNA from 1 species